GAUUCUUCCGCUCUUUGGCCUUGUGUUGAUCAUCAUCCUGGGUAUCCUUUUUAUCCAUUUGAUUCCCUAUUCGAUUUCAGCGUUCUUUCCUUUCUUCUACACAUCGUUGCUCGCAGUUCCUUCAUUUUUUGCCCAUGCAUUCAUCGCUCUGCGCACCUCCUCUUCGAUUUGACCUAUUUCUCUUCGAUUCCAGUGUUCUUAUUCUUCUUUCGGACAGCGCCGCUCUUUUUGGCCUAUAUAUUGCGUUUGAAAUCGUUUGUUUGUUAUAUGUGCUAAAUUUUUGGGGUUAUUUUGUCAGCGUUGUUCUUGCUGCACAAACUAUCGAGACGUGAAUCAGAGCAGCUUCCUCAACCUCAAACGCCAAUUCACACGAAGGUAAUCUCAAUUUUGAUUUAUUCAAAGUUACGAUCUUUAAAUUGGAAAAUAAAAUGAAUUGGGGGAGCUUCUUUGUUCGCCUGAUUGGAGCACAAGUUUCAAUUAGGGUUUGAUAGAUGUGUUGGGGUACCGAGAAAUUGGGAAAAUUGGGUUUGUAUCGAUUUUGGAAACGCAUAAUUCACACCAAAGUAAUCUUAAUUUUGGAAAUUGGAAAUAUUGUCCGUAAACCCUAUUUACCGUUCUUCUGCCGAUGCUAUGUGAUAUUACCCAUAAAAUGCAUAAGUACCAGCUACAAUGAUGCCGAGGAAUCUUUUUACAAAUUUAUUUACUGAAACUGAAAUUUACCUCUAAAUUGUGAUCAAAGAAACCGAAAUUUUAUCAGUGAAUUGGAGAUUAGAAAUGUACUUCUUUUAUAAUUAUUAUAAAAAAAAAAUUGAAUUCCUAGAACUCUUGAAAUGAAGAAAAGGAGUAUGUGGGAGGUAUGGCCAUGGUUGUGAUUCUGAGAAUUUCUGAUCAUGCAACAAGCUGUUAAUCUGUCAAAAGCUGUUGCCAAGCACUUGGUAAUCGUUAAGCUGUCCGAGGAGAAUAUAGUUUAAAUAUCUUUUGCACCAAGUUAAGUGUAAUCAUUUUAUCACUUGGUAAUCGUUUAUUAGACGUUGAAUACAUGUUAAGUGUAUUUUUUCAGUUGUUUGGAUGGUCCUUUUAUAAUAUAGGUGAGCCUGAUUUAAAUAGA